UAUUAGCGCACAAAAUUUUGGGCAAAAACAACAAAAAUCCCUUCGACCUCUUCUUUCUCAGAUUCACUCAAUUGACUCAUAUUCCUCUUCUUCCUCCAAGUCACUCAGUCAGUGUUCUUCUUCCUCCGAUAUUCCUCGCCGGUUCAGAUUCACGUAUUAUUUCCACUCGAUUAGAAAGAACGAAGAAAACCUAAUCUCCGUCAAACUCAACCUUCCUCAGCUCACUACCGUUACCUUUCUCUUCUCUGGUAUCUUGUGGACUAAGAAGAAGACCUCAGUGUCCAGUUACUGGAAAAAAUAUCCAAGGGGUUAAUUAUGGUUUCUACUAAUGAUGAAAGUGGUUCGUCUAGUACGAAAACAGUUGGUAAACGUGGUGUGACCUGGUUGCAAAAAAUUCACAAAUCCAAAAGCAACGGAAAGAGGAUUGAGGUUCAAUGGAAUGCAAGAGGUCAACCAAUCAAGCAUAAUAGCAAGAGUUUUGCUAGUUAUAUUGGUGUCACAGUUCGUCGCUUAGUUCCAAUUAGUUUGGACAAUUGGAGUGCGAAAAAAAAUAAAGAGGCUAUAGGGGUUUAUAAACAAAACAUUUGGAUGAAAUCGAAAAAGCUUUUGUAAUUGGCGAAGAACAUCGUGCAUUUAUAUAUAAAGAAGCUGGAAAGUUGCACAGGGCAUUCAGGACAAAAAUGACAAAGUUCUAUCUAAGAGAUAGUAAGGGUGGUUUUGUUAAACAUCGAUCGGCAAAAUAUUCUUACUGUAUAAAACAAGAGGACUGGGAUAAAUUUGUAGCUCAGCGUAUGACUACAAAGUUUCAGAAAGUUAGUAGUGAAAAUCGAGAAAGAGCGUUAAAUCCUCAACAUCCUUAUAGAAAGUCACAUUUAGGGUGUGCUCGUCUUGAAGCUGAUAUGGUAGAAGAGUCAGGAGUUGAUGAGAUAAAUCGCAGUCAAGUGUGGAAGUUUAUUUCAUUUUGUUAGUGUGUUGCAAAUUUAUCGUGCUAAUAGUAAU